CAAUUUUCAAGGCAUGAUAAAUCUAAGUAUUGGCAGCUAGCCUGCAAAUGUGACAAAAUGCCUGGCUAAUGCACCUAGGUCACAAUAAGCAAACAGAAUGUAGAGGAGGGUUCAGCCCGUAAAAGGAAAGAAAGUUUCGUUAUCAGGAAAUCGAAACUUAAGCAGGGAAAGGGACGGGAUAUAACCUUAUAAGGGGGAUAAUGAAACUUAGGCAACGUCUUGGAAGAUUGUAACCCCAUAGUACUCAACCAAUGCAGAACUCGUGGAGGGACUUGUGUGCUAGGAGAUAAAUUACCUGUUGUGACUUCCCUGGAUGUACCUGCUCAGACACCCGACCUUGCAAGAUCGUUAUUAAAGUCUCACUUUCGCUGUUCUUCGUGCCUCUAAGUCCAUUCUUCGGGUUUGGAUGGAAUCCCCUUCCUUGUAUGGCUCUGAGUAAGAUUUGGCCAAGAGGAAUUUGCACAAGAUUUUAGAAGGCAGGAACAAUGCAACAGACGUGACUCAAUGAAGAUUUCAGGAUUAGGAUAGUGAUGGACACUCACAAAGCAUAAACAUCCAUGCUUCUGGAUUCAACAAACUCUUGGAAAGCAUUUUUCUGCAUCCUGCU
rnacentral:lncRNA from 10 species